AAACUUUCGUCAUCAUCAAAUGGACUUGAAGAACCAACAUUCCAAUAGAAAUCUAAAACAAAUUAAAAUAUGCAAAAAUAUAUGGACAGAAACUUCAAGUAUCCAAAAAUAUAUGAACAGAAGAUAAGUUUACUACAAGUGCGGGUUACUUAUCCUAUAGACAGACGCACCCCAUAAAUAUCUUAAAAACUAUCCUUUGCUUGACAAAUGAUGUGUAAGGCUUCUGCAUCAUUUGCCAUCGCUGGAAUCUUUAAUGACUGCCGGAUUUCUGUACUUGAAGUGCGAAGG
rnacentral:misc_RNA from 1 species